GACGAACGCUGGCGGCGUGCCUAAUACAUGCAAGUAGAACGCUGAAGGAGGAGCUUGCUUCUCUGGAUGAGUUGCGAACGGGUGAGUAACGCGUAGGUAACCUGCCUGGUAGCGGGGGAUAACUAUUGGAAACGAUAGCUAAUACCGCAUAAUAGUAGAUGUUGCAUGACAUUUGCUUAAAAGGUGCAAUUGCAUCACUACCAGAUGGACCUGCGUUGUAUUAGCUAGUUGGUGGGGUAACGGCUCACCAAGGCGACGAUACAUAGCCGACCUGAGAGGGUGAGCGGCCACACUGGGACUGAGACACGGCCCAGACUCCUACGGGAGGCAGCAGGAGGGAAUCUUCGGGAAUGGACGGAAGGCUGACCGAGCAACGCCGCGUGAGUGAAGAAGGUUGUCGGAUCGUAAAGGUCUGUUGUAAGAGAAGAACGAGUGUGAGAGUGGAAAGUUCACACUGUGACGGUAUCUUACCAGAAAGGGACGGCUAACUACGUG
rnacentral:rRNA from 1 species